CUCGUUUAAAGAAUGGUCAAGCUAAGAAAAGCAAAGAUGAGUAAGAUUGGAAUUUUGGGAAGCCAACGUAAACCGAAGCAAGGACAAGCUGUGAUCACUCCAUCCCUUUUUCCCUCCAUCCAUCCAUUUUCUCACUGCUUCACGGGGGAUCACGGGGAAGCCGGAGCCUAUCUCAACAAGCCACUGGAGCAAGGCAGGAUACGCUCUGGAUGAGACGCCAGUCCACCGCAGGGCACACACUCACACAGAAGCCAGCUGACCAACUGUUACGUCAUUGUUAGGGUUGGACCCUGUGCGGAUCCAGGGAACUCGAAGACUGCCAACAACAGGAAAGCCAAGGACAAAAAGCCGCAAAUCAAAAAACCAGAAGCAAGGUAGAGCAAAGGUAACCGAGGGAGAAUCCAAAAACCUUUGGACACAAAACCGGGCUAAUGUCCUUAGGCCAAAAAGGGAAUGCAGGAAGUGGAGCUCUCAGGUGAAAACCUAAUACUGAUGAGCCAGAGAGCUGGGCUCAAGUAGGCUGGGGAGGGGUCGGGAAGUGCUGGGUUAAAGAGGUCU
rnacentral:lncRNA from 1 species